GCCAGAAGGACAGUGGGAGCAGAAUAAAAAUUAAACAUGUUGACUUUGUUUGGUGCCCUGUAGGUAAAAUGUCACAUCUUGUCCUCAGCUCCUGAAGAUGUAAUUACCCGGCUCAUUUCCCAGAGCUGCUGUGCAAUUCGUAUUGCUUCCAGAUUCUCCAGUUUAUGUGCCUGCAGAUGGUCCCUGCUACUGCUUCGAGUGGCUCAGCGGAGACUCCAGACGCCAUGAGGCGGCGACAAGCCACCCUGCCUGAAUUCCUGACCCACAGGAACUAUGACAGGUGUGUAGGUGGAGACAAAUUGUGCCCCUGGAGCUGUACUUAAUGGGUGACACUCAGAAGCUUUAUCUACACCUGAUUCAGAUAAGUAGAUAAUGAGUUUUGGGCUUUUGAGCUGGUGAGAUUCUGGACUUUAUCUAGUGUGAUAAUGGGAUGAGACUGUUGGAAACCUUGGGGAGCAGGUAAAUGUUUUCUGCAAGUGAGAGUGAAUUAUGGGGCCAGAGUUUGUACUCUGGUGGACAGAACUGUAGGUGGCCCUAAUGAUCUCUGCCCCCAUUGCAGCAUCCAUGAUUAGGUUAAGUGAUAUAGCAAAGAAAUCCUGCCUAUGUGGUUACGGUCACUAAUGAGUUGAUGUUAAAAUAAAAAUAUAAUCUGGGUGGGCCUAACCUAACCAUAUGAGCCCUUUAAAUAUAGAGUUUUACAUAGAUGGACCUGGAAUCAUUAUCAUAAGUGAAAUAACUCAGAAACGGAAAGUUAAAUACUGCAUGUUCUCACUUGUAAGUGGGAACUACACACUGGGUAUGCAUGGACAUAUAAAGUGGAAUAGCAGAUGUUAGAGACUCCAAAAGAUGAGGAGAUGGGAAUGGGGUGAAGGUUAAAAAACUACCUAUUUGGUACAAUGUUCACUAUUUGAGUGACGUGUACGCAAAAGUCCAGAUUUCACCAUGAUGAAAUAUAUCCACAUACAUGUAACAAUACUGCACUUGUACCUCCUAAAUCUAUUUUUUUAAAGUGGAGUUUUAUCUGAUUGGUAGAAGAAGAGGAAGUCAGAGAGAUUCCAAGUAUGAGAAGUAUUUGAUGAACAAUUACUGGCUUUGAAGAUAGAGGAGGCCAUGGAGCAAAGAAUGCAAAUGGCCUUAGGAGCUGAGAAUGGCCCUUGACUGACAGCUAACAAAGAAAUGGAGAAGUCAGUCAAGCAAUAGCAAAAAAUGGAAUUCUCCCAUCAACCUGAACAAGCUUAAAAGCAGACUCUUCCUCAGAACCUUGGUUAGAGCCCAGCCCAGCCAAAAUUUCAGCCCUGAAAGACCCUAAGUAGAGACCCCAGUUGAGCCCACUUGGACUUCUGACCUACAGAACUGUGAGAUAAUGAAUGGAAGUUGUUUGAAGCCAUUAAGUUUAUGGUAAUUUGUUACACAACAAUAGCCAACUAAUAGACUCCAUAAUCCCAACAAACAACCUUAACUUCCAUAAACAACUAUUUAUUGAACACUUACUGUACUUAAGGUAUAUGAAAGGGACAUAAAGAGAUAGCAACUAUAAAAAUGUAAUUAGCUAAUAUUUAUGGAGCAGUUCUACAAUGUGCCAUAUAGUCUCCUGAUUAUGUGUGAAUUAUCUCAUUUAAUCUCCACAAUCUGUGAAGGAUGUAGUAGUUUAUUACUAACAAAGGAGUAGAAACAUGAAGGGUACGUAGAUUGUCUAAGGUUUAUUUAUAAAACACGACAGACAGUAAGCACAACCAGUAUAAUUUCCGUAUUUUCUGGGGUAGUGCUGAUUUAAAAUAUUCGGUCUUCUUGCCUCCUGAUUGCAUUUAUAAUUGUCAAACCACAUUCCUGGGUCUGUGGUUCAGAAAAUAUGGUCAUCCUGCUUAUAAAAUAAAGACAUAUGUACCAUAGGAGCCCUGACUCUCAAGGCAGCCAUCUGUGUCCAGUGCAAUGGGUCAAACAUAGAGUGUUUCUUUAGUAAACACCACAAACUUGCUGUCUGCAUGCUUCCUUAGAGGACACAGCGACUAAUUGAUGGUCAAAUGGCAUCCUUCAGUGAAGAUUGGGAUUGGGCAAAACUGGGAUAAACACUGGAACCUGUUUUAGUUAUCUAUUGCUGAGUCAUAGGAACCUCAACAAGCCAGUAAUGGCUUAAAACUCAUGAUUUUGUGUGUCUGAAAUAUUUCAGGGGCUUGUCUGGGGUGGUUCUUCUCUGCUCUGCCUGGCUAGGACUGUCACUUGAUGCUGCUCCUUGCUUUUCCCUCUCCACGUGACAUCCUCAUCCUUCAGGGCCUGUCAGUGGAACCUGGACUACUCACAGGUUGGUGGUCUUCAGAUCGCCAUACCUCUUUCAUGGCGCUUGGCUUUCACAAAGCAGGAAGUGAAAGUUCCCAGACCUGUUAAGGACAACCACGAGUGGAACAGCAUUCUCUCUGCUGUGUUCUAUUGGACAAAGUGGUCAAAGGGUCUGACCGUCACAUUGCAGGAGAAUCUGUGGAUUGGGAACAUAUUGUUGGUGUCAUCUUUGGAAAAUACAGGCCACUGUAGUGUUCCUUGAGAAAUGUUAUUUCUUCAGUCGCAGGGAUAUACUCCCGUUCUGAGAGUUAGGAAAUAAUGGAAAUAAACUGAAGAGUAACAAUUCAGACACACGUUGAUGAGAACAGAGCAUUUUCUUCCUGGGUUUCCCAUUAUAUAAACACACAGAGGAUCAGGUCAUUAUGGAGAGUGUGGGCCUACCAACCAGAAGGGUUUUAUACCUCUUCUUAACUGCAACAGCUAGUUAGUCAUUGCCUGCCAACUACCUCGUAUCUGAUCUUCCAUCAGUUCUGGAGAGUUGCUGGAAAUGUUCCCAAGCAACUGUGGUGCUGUUUCUGCAGGUAGAGGAGGGAAGAAAACAAGUAAUGACCAUUGAAUUUUCCCUUUAUUUUAUAUACUUAUCACUAUCAUGCCAUGGUUAUUCAUGCCACCCACAGCAAGUCCACACACAUGUAAGGGAGAAGAUUUUAUGACAUUCCUGCAGCCCUCAUCACAGGGGGCUUGUCCUGUCCAGUAUCUUCAUCCUUUUGCAUAUAAGGACUGCUAACUGGAUGAAAUAGGCCCUGUUAAACCAGAGAUAAUUAUUCAUUUGAGAAAGACUAUCAUGUCUUCAAGUUAUGCCAACAUAUGCAUCAGAUGCCAGCAGUUGCGUGAUAUAUUAUACUUGGUUCAGAUUCAAUCUAGAUACUCUACAUUUAUUUCCUUAUUUCCUGCCAGGAGACAAGGACUAGUAUGAUUUUCUGUCAUGAGCUUCAGGGGAAGUUUCCAUAUUAAAUGUUGUUAUCAUUUAUAUUAAUUAUUAACAUAUUAGUACAUAAUAUAUCAUAGUAAUAUAUUAAAAAUAUUGGUAUAUAUUAUUUUGAAAUUACCAUUUGAAAUUAUUUUGAAAUGUGCAUUAAAUUGAUGGUUAUAUGGAGCCAAGGUUCCUUAUGCUUUUCUACAUUAGUAGGAAGUUUUGGAACCAAAUUUUUGGACCUCCUGGGUGUAUAACAUAGAUUAUCUCUCACUGUGCUCUGUGAUCUUGUGGAGGUUGAUGGCCUAAGAAAGAAACAGGAUUGGGCUAACAGAAAAUACCCUGCUGGAAUAGGAAGAUGGGGAGCUCACAGGGAUGUCCCAGACCUCAGUACUUCUGCAUAACAAACACCCAGACUCAGAGGCUUAAAAUACAAACAAUCAUUCAUUUUGAUUGCGAAUCUGCUUCACAGGUCACCCAACCUGUUACUGUCAUCUUCUAGAAUAAUGUGGCAUAUUCAGGCUUUUUCAGAACCAAUUAAAGUUGUCCUGAGGGGUUCAGUAAACAUAUAGCAGUAGGCUAAAAAGUAUUAAUCAAGACUGUGCCAUGAGAACAUCAGGCCAGCGGUUAUCAUGUAACUUGGAUUUCCACACUCGUAUUCAGCUUAAAAUUAUUCAUUCAAUUUUCCUUUAAGGGCACCUAUAUUUUAAGGGCCGUGGCUUCUCCUUUCUGGUCUGAUAAAAUAAUAAAAUGGUCACCAUAUUUUAAUCUGGGUGCUUCGAUGGACCUAGCGGAGGAACCUCCCCAUUCCCAGCAGCAUUAUGAUGUGAAUGGUGAUGGGCAUCAGACAUGACAUAUGUAACAUGUCCCAUGCACGGAAGGGUGCUCCAUGACUGCAAACCUGGAUGAUGAUGACAACGACGAUGGAGAUGACUAAGACUGUAUUUAAAAAUGGAAUUGCUGUUGUUUCCUGGCUUCCUGAUGGUCCUGUUUUUUACCUUCUGCUGCUUUUUACGGAUUUAUUUUUUCUUGACUGAUUCGUACCUUUUUGAGCAAUGGGAACCUUUGGUGGUGUAAAGCCUAGAAAAGACUCGCAACAAUAUUAAAAAAUGUGUAUGACACACAUGGUAUGUCGGAAGAAACCCAACCAUAUCUGUGUUUGCAACAACUGCAGUGUACCAUGAAGAUGACUGGAGUUCUAUGGCAACAACAUUGCAAGCACUGCUAAACCCACUGUGGUUUCUUGCCUACAUUCCUAGCCAAAGUCAACACUAAAUUUCUGUUAGAGGUGAUGAAAAUAAAAGUUUAUUUUUCCCCAUCUAUGCUCAUAUAGUCCUCCCCCAAAUUCCAUCUAUGGACUUUUGGGAGAUCCAUGGACCCCAGGUUAGGAAUGUUAGAAUUAGAUGCAUUAUUUCUUUAUAGGUAUAGAUAAGGAAAAGAUUAGAAGGAUCAACUGAUCUGGCCAUUAACUAGUUCAAAUACUAAGGAGUAAAAUGAAAUAAAAGUUUUA
rnacentral:lncRNA from 1 species